CUCCUUUGACGUUAGCGGCGGACGGGUGAGUAACACGUGGGUAACCUACCUAUAAGACUGGGAUAACUUCGGGAAACCGGAGCUAAUACCGGAUAAUAUUUCGAACCGCAUGGUUCGAUAGUGAAAGGUGGUUUUGCUAUCACUUAUAGAUGGACCCGCGCCGUAUUAGCUAGUUGGUAAGGUAACGGCUUACCAAGGCGACGAUACGUAGCCGACCUGAGAGGGUGAUCGGCCGCACUGGAACUGAGACACGGUCCAGACUCCUACGGGAGGCAGCAGAC
rnacentral:rRNA from 1 species